rnacentral:rRNA from 1 species
AUUGAACGCUGGCGGCAGGCCUUACACAUGCAAGUCGAACGAGUGGCGGACGGGUGAGUAAUGUCUGGGAAACUGCCCGAUGGCGGGGGAUAACUACUGGAAACGGUAGCUAAUACCGCAUACCAUCGGAUGUGCCCAGAUGGGAUUAGCUAGUAGGUGGGGUAAAGGCUCACCAAGGCGACGAUCCCUAGCUGGUCUGAGAGGAUGACCAGCCACACUGGGACUGAGACACGGUCCAGACUCCUACGGGAGGCAGCAGUGGGGAAUAUUGGACAAUGGGCGCAAGCCUGAUGCAGCCAUCCCGCGUGUAUGAUGAAGGCCUUCGGGUUGUAAAGUACUUUCGGCGGGGAAGCGUUAUCUGCAGAAUAAGCACCGGCUAACUCCGUGCCAGCAGCCGCGGUAAUUC